UGCCAGCCGCCGCGGUAAUACGUAGGUGGCAAGCGUUGUCCGGAUUUAUUGGGCGUAAAGCGAGCGCAGGCGGAAGAAUAAGUCUGAUGUGAAAGCCCUCGGCUUAACCGAGGAAUUGCAUCGGAAACUGUUUUUCUUGAGUGCAGAAGAGGAGAGUGGAACUCCAUGUGUAGCGGUGGAAUGCGUAGAUAUAUGGAAGAACACCAGUGGCGAAGGCGGCUUUCUAGGCUGCACCUGACGCUGAGGGGCGAAAGCGUGGGGAGCAAACCGGAUUAGAUA
rnacentral:rRNA from 1 species